GCCAAAAAUGUUGAAGAGUAGAUCCAAAGAUAUUGAUAAUGAAGCGUGGUCCAAUGAAAACUAUUUCAGCUCUCUCUUGCUUUUACAGAGUAAGCAUAUAAGAUAUUGUUUUAGUCUUUGCAUGCUAUAAAAACGAGAGGGAGGAGUAUUUCCCAAAAUUAUAAGGAAUCGUUCUUAAAUUUUUUGGAAGAAUUUAGAUACUAGUAUCUAAUGUAAUUGUCAUAGAGGAAUGCAAGCUUUUAGUAAAUAGUUUAACACUUAUUUAAGCCAUGAUGGACUGCAUAAAACAUAGAAUUACAUGAAAACACAUUUUGCCAACAUAAGUCAUGAUACAUAUAUUUCUGAAACUUUGUGAUCAUUGUCCUCUACAGAAAAAGACUCGUUCUGGCCUAUUCAUUGUUGUUCUUUGUGCAUUGGUGAAUUUAAA
rnacentral:lncRNA from 1 species